AAACGGCUGCUUUGACUCUUCCUCUAGUAGAACUCCUGGCUCUUAGGAGAGUUUUACCCCUCAAAAUAAAGCAAACUGUCUGCUGAUGCUCAGCAAAACUCUAAAUAACACCUCACAAGCAUUAGAUGUUUAAAAAAAUGUUUUUUAAAUUAAUCUAGGGCCGAACUCUUGGAAAUAGAGCCGCCAUUGGUUACGCGCUGCUCCCGUUCCUCCGUCACCUGAGUUAUGAGAGAUCCCCUGACAAAGUCAGGGUCUCUCCUAGGUUGUUUGACGGGUUUGGGAACUAAGGACAUUAUCUUAAGACGCCAUCUUGUUGGUCAGUAUAAUCAUUACUUUGUGUUUUUCUCUGUGUGUCUGCUGAUGUUAAUACCACCUCCUGCCUGCCAGCCUUCCUGUAGAAACAUGCUGUGGGCCACUCGACCGACCCGUGGGUGGACUCUAACUGCCGUACCCCUCCCUACACCGCCCCCUGUCAGCUUGAAGAAGCCACAACGGUCAUCGUCCCUGUUCCCUGACAGCAGUUAUAGGCCCUGUUCCAGGGGUGGAAUAAACAGGGAAAGGGUUAACAUGAGGCGGGGAGAGAUAAGGGACCGCAGCUGCAGGUGGGAGGCUGAAGAAGCCGACGGGCUUCUCCCCGUAUAGGAUCUUUGACAGGCACCUUCCCCCGCAUUAUCAAGGGCAUAAGGGGGAGGAUCUAAAUGUGAUGGACAACCUAACCCUAAGACAACAGAUGCGGGCCCUGGGCUCUGCCCUAACCACCUUACACCACUAGGUCAGGGAGCAAUUACCUGUGAGUCUGACCACAGAUGCUCACCCCUUUAAACCAGGAGAUGCAAUAUGGAUAAAGGAGUGAAAUGUCCAACCCCUAAAACCCCUCUGGAGGGGCCCGUUCACUGUCAUUUCGUCCACCCCUCCUGCAGUAAAGGUGGCCAAAGUGUGUCCCUGGAUUCACCACAGCAGAGUGAAGCCGGCAUCUCGAAACUGGGCAUGCAUUCCUGACCCAUUGAUGCUGUGCAAGCUGACCAUACGGAAGAUCCUGCAACUCCAGAGGCUCCGGGAGACUGCAGCCCUGCUUUAGUCACUCCGGAAGCUGCCUGAUCUAUGCACAGCAGAAGGCUGAGGAACCGACCGUCUGGAUUGGCCUAGGCCGCCCCGGGUUGGCUGCAAAUGUGGGGAGAGGUUUCUGUGAACACUCACCUUCCUCUUGUGGAUAGGAUACUUCGUUGGUACCAACGUGGGAAAACAAUGGCCCUAAGAGACUAGAAAAUUAGAUCCCCACAAACUUUAGAGUAAAACAAAAUACCCCAGUCCUACUACUGGGGUUUGGCUUCUCCAAAGCUCAAAUAAUUGGGAAGAACUUUCUUACCUAGUGGGGGAAAAGUUCAUCGUCGUCUCUGUUAAAAACUUAACAUUCCUAGGCCAACUGAACUGCCAGGAAAACCCAAUGGUGGGGGACCCCAGAUCACCUUGAGCCAGAUCCCCAUCCAUUGUCUAACUUUUCUCACCUCUGAGAGGCCUGGGACAGUGUCAACACAGCCAUCAAGUGGCGGGUCCCAGGUGGACUGUACUAGAUAUGUGGAAGGACAGCUCUACAGUACUUCCCUUGGUCUGGUCACGGUCACGUGUGCUGGGAACUCUUCGUCCAUCUUUCUUCCUGCUCCCACUUGCCAGAGGGAAACAUUCGGGAGUCCAAGUGUAUGGGGAGAGGGAGAUGCAAAGAAAGCAGCAUGCCUUACAAAUUGGCAAUUAAAAAGGCGAUAAAAGGCCUCCCGAGCGUAUAAUCCAAUAUUAUGGCCCUGCCGCCUGGACAGAGGACGGGUCCUCAGGCUACUGCACUCCCAUUUACAUGCUAAACCGCACAAUCAGACUAUAGGCAAUUAUAAAAAUUAUAACCAACAAAACUACCAGAGUGGUUGACUUUCUAGCCAAGCAGCAAACCAAAAUACACAAUGCUACCUAUCAAAAUUGCUUGGACUUAGAUUACCUGCUUGCUUCCCCCCACCAAAAAAAAAGUUUGUCAAAAGUUUAACGUAAGAAACUGCUGCCUACAGACAGAUAAUGAGAAAAAAGUCAUAGAGGAGAUCACAAAUCAAAUGAAAAGGAUUUCUCAUGUCCCCGUCCAGACCUGGAACAGUUAAAACCCCAAGGAGUUAUCUGGAGGAUGUUUUUCAACUUUUGGAGCGCUCAAAACUCUCAUAAAAAUUAUCCUCCUAAUUCUGGGAGGUUGCUUAAUCAUACCUUGCUUAGCUCCCUUGGUGGCGUGGUCUGUCUCCGGUCUCAUUGAGACCAUAAU